AUUUGACCUCAAAUCAGGUAGGAA
rnacentral:rRNA from 1 species